AAGGAAAACCAAGAUUUACAGACCUGGCUGAAGUCUAUAAGCAAUCAUUUAUACUGGUCUUGUAGCUCAAGUCACGGAGAUGGUGAGGAAUGUGUACGCCGCUGGAAAUCACUGCUCCAUCACAUUGUUGGCAUACACCGGUGGGAGGAAGAUGGGGAACAACACACCUGUCAUCAUGCCCCUUUGACAGACGAUGAACAGCGCAGGAAAAGGUGGAUGAAGGUGGAUUCCCCAGCAUACAAGUCAUUGAAAAGUAUUGUCCUGGACAAAAAUCUACUACGUGACUUGAAGCAGAUGGCCUUAUUCAAGCACACCGGGCCCCUGGAGGUCUUUCACUCAUCUAUGCUGAAGUAUACCCAGAAGAGGCUGCACUUCUCCUAUGACGCAAUGCUGGCCAGAAC